rnacentral:rRNA from 1 species
CGAAAGCCUGACGGAGCAAUACCGCGUGAGGGAGGAAGGCUCUUGGGUUGUAAACCUCUUUUCUCAGGGAAGAACAAAAUGACGGUACCUGAGGAAUAAGCAUCGGCUAACUCCGUGCCAGCAGCCGCGGUAAUACGGAGGAUGCAAGCGUUAUCCGGAAUGAUUGGGCGUAAAGCGUCCGCAGGUGGCAACUCAAGUCUGCUGUUAAAGGUCGGGGCUCAACCCCGAACGAGCAGGGGAAACUGGGUAGCUAGAGUGCGAUAGGGGUAGAGGGAAUUCCCAGUGUAGCGGUGAAAUGCGUAGAGAUUGGGAAGAACACCGGUGGCGAAAGCGCUCUACUAGGUCGUAACUGACACUCAUGGACGAAAGC